UACGUAGGGUGCGAGCGUUAAUCGGAAUUACUGGGCGUAAAGCGUGCGCAGGCGGUGAUGUAAGACAGGUGUGAAAUCCCCGGGCUUAACCUGGGAACUGCAUUUGUGACUGCAUCGCUGGAGUACGGCAGAGGGGGAUAGAAUUCCGCGUGUAGCAGUGAAAUGCGUAGAUAUGCGGAGGAACACCGAUGGCGAAGGCAAUCCCCUGGGCCUGUACUGACGCUCAUGCACGAAAGCGUGGGGAGCAAACAGG
rnacentral:rRNA from 1 species